AUUGAACGCUGGCGGCAGGCCUAACACAUGCAAGUCGAACGAGUGGCGGACGGGUGAGUAAUAUCUGGGAAACUGCCUGAUGGCGGGGGAUAAAUACUGGAAACGGUAGCUAAUACCGCAUACCAUCAGAUGUGCCCAGAUGGGAUUAGCUUGUUGGUGGGGUAACGGCUCCCCAAGGCGACGAUCCCUAGCUGGUCUGAGAGGAUGACGAGGCACACUGGAACUGAGACACGGGCCAGACUCCUACGGGAGGCAGCAGUGGGGAAGAGUGCACAAUGGGCGCAAGCCUGAUGCAGCCAUGCCGCGUGUAGGAAGAAGGCCUGCGGGUUGUAAAGUACUUGCAGCGGGGAGGCGUUACCCGCAGAAGAAGCACCGGCUAACUCCGUGCCAGCAGCCGCGGUAAUUC
rnacentral:rRNA from 1 species